UUUCAUGCAUUGGAGAAGGAAAUGGCAACCCACUCCAGUGUUCUUGCCUGGAGAAUCCCAGGGACGGCGGAGCCUGGUGGGCUGCCGUCUAUGGGGUCGCACAGAGUCAGACAAAACUGAAGAGACUCAGCAGCAGCAGCAGCAGCAGCAGGAAUAAGAGUUGGUUGACCUGAAGAAGAAUGAAAUGCAAUUGGCGAAUAGAUACGGCAAAAAUCACGGUGGCCAUGCCUGGGUGGCUGCCAUUUGGAAACUGCUACACUACAGGGCUGUGACGUCCACGAUCAAGGAGCAGCAGGUUGAGCACCUGGAAGAACCUGGUUCAUGGUCCACGGACAGCUGUCUUCUCUCAGCAUGCUCACAUGGUGAAGGGACAAGAGAGCUCUCUGGGACCCCUUCUAUGAGGGUACUAGUACCAUUCAUGUGGGCUCCACCGCAUGACCCGGUCACCUCUCAAGUCCCGCACCUCCUAAUACAAUCACCGUGCGUAUGAGUCUUCAACAUAUGCAUUUUCACUGAAGGACAGGCACAAACAUUCAGUUUCCAGCAGAUCCAAAGUCUGUUUUUAAUACAAAUGUCAUGUAACUUUUCCAUUAUCACCACAAAAUAAAAUGUAUGGCUAAUAUACCAUCCUCACACACAAUCUUUUUAAAUCAAUGUA